ensembl:lncRNA
GUGGGUCGCCCCAUAGCGGGGGUUGGGCCACCCCAUAGCAGGGCAUGGGCUGCCCCAUAGCGGGGGUUGGGCUGCCCCAUAGUGCGGGUUGGGCCACCCCAUAGCACGGGUUCGGCUGCCCCAUAGCAGGGGUUGGGCCGCCUCGUAGCGGGGGUAGGGCUGCCCCAUAGCGCACCUUGGGCUGCCCCAUAGUGCGGGUUCGGCUGCCCCAUAGCACGGGUUGGGCUGCCCCGUAGCAGGGGUAGGGCUGCCCCAUAGCACACCUUGGGCUGCCCCAUGGCAGGGGUUGGGCCGCCCCAUAGCGGGGGUUGGGCUGCCCCAUAGAGGUGGUGGGUUGCCCCAUAGCGCACCACGGGGGUGGGACCCCCCAUAGCAGGGGUUGGGCUGCCCCAUAGCAGGGGUUGGGCUGCCCCAUAGUGCGGGUUGGGCUGCCCCAUAGCGGGGGUUGGGCUGCCCCAUAGUAAGGGUUGGGCUGCCCCAUAGAGGGGGUGGGUUGCCCCAUGGCAGGGGUUGGGCUGCCCCACAGAGAUGGUGGGUCGCCCCAUAGCGCGGGUUGGGCUGCCCCAUAGCGGGGUCAGGACGCCCCAUAGAGGCACAGGGCUGCCCCAUAGAGGGGGUGGGACACCCCACAGAGCUUCAGGACACCCCAUAGCGGGGUCAGGACGCCCCAUAGAGGUAGUGGGGCACCCCAUAGAGGGGUCAGGACGCCCCAUAGCGGGGUCAGGAUGCCCCAUAGAGGGGUCAGGAUGCCCCAUAGAGGGGGUGGGACACCCCACAGAGCUUUAGGACGCCCCAUAGCGGGGUCAGGACGCCCCAUAGAGGGGGUGGGAUGCCCCAUAGAGGCCAUGGGACACCCCACAGAGGUUCAGGACGCCCCAUAGAGAAAACAGGACGCCCCAUAGAGGGGAUGGGUCACCCCACAGAGCUUCAGGACACCCCAUAGAGGAGGUGGGAUGCCCCAUAGAGGGGAUGGCUCACCCCAUAGCAGGGUCAGGACGCCCCAUAGAGGGGAUGGCUCACCCCAUAGCAAUUCAGGGGCACCCCACAGAGCUUCAGGACGCCCCAUAGAGAAAACAGGACGCCCC